CUAUUUUUUUCCUUUCCGAGCGAGGCAGCCAUUCAUUUCAGAGUAAGCCUUGCUGCACGGCGCUGAUGGAGGCACGCUCGGUGCAGCGCGUCCUGCCUCUGGAGAGCUGUCUCGGCUGGGGCAGGGGAAAUGCUUUGAAAUGGCUUAUGUCUUUCCUCUCAAUGAUUCAUAAGACAGGCGCUAAACCUUGCCAUUAUUAGAGAGAUAAAAUCCACAGACUAUGGGGUCUGAUAAUAGGCAACUAUACUGUUAUCCAUAUUACCUUGUAAAAUUGAAGUAUUGAUUUUUUUAAAGCACGGUUUGCUACUUAGCAGACCAAUCCCACUACUAUUGUAGUCAGUGAGAUUUUGCUAUUGACUUCAGUGGGAACAGCUUUUUGCCUUUAAAAUGGUCUAUUUCACAUUAUUAUGGUAAUAUCAUUCAGCAGUUCUUAAAAUUGGCCUUCUUGGCCUUGGACAUUUUAAAAGAUUUAUGUAAAAAUUACUUCAGCUCAACUUCUGCACCUCAUUUCUGCUCAUGUUUUGUCCAAAGUUUUGUUUGGAUAAAUCCUACAGAUAACUUAGUGUUCCAGAUGGUUGUGGGUGGACUGGACCUAAUAGAUUCUCCAGUUAUGUGUGUUUAAGUGUUUUUUUGUUUUGGUUUGGCUUUUUAAUUUUACAGAAGCCUAGAUUUAGAAACCCAUUUGUAGAUCUCCUGUUGUGUGCAGCUUUGAAUGCAUUUGGUUUCUCACCAAAAUAGCAUGCCUUCCAAAGCAAGAUUAAAAAUAUUAAAAUGCAGCCAGCACAGGGAGUGGUUCAGUUCGACUGAUGCCACAAAAACAGGCUGAACCUCCUUCCAUAGAUAACAUACAUCUGAAUCUUGGCACCUGCCAUUGGAUUGGAAUUCAAAAUGAGAAACAGCAGGCCUUGAGGUCUGGAAAUAAAGGCAGCAUAGGGGGAAAAAAAUGUUCUCUGCCUAUAGUAAAUAAUAAACUGCAGCAGUAAAGACAAAUGACAAGGAUUGAGGAAAAUACACUGUGGGCAUCAGAUAGAUACUGGGGCUAUGACACAAUGGUAAACAUAUCCAAAUUCAAAGUGCUAAGUGUAUCUAGCACCUAUAUUAGCUGUUUGCCUAUUUGUGUAACUAAAAGCUUUUUAUUGUCUAGCAACAUUCUGCUCAGCUACUUUUUGCUACAUCAUGCUGUGAUACUCAUUGAACUAACUGUUGACUAAUAGACUCCAAUUUGUAAUAAAUAGAUAAAUGGUUGGGAAUAGAUAUUUAUCCAAAAUUCUGCUGAUAUCAAAUUUCCGUGAGAAAAUGCUUCCCCCUGGGCCUCCCCCCCUGCCGUCCCCAAAAAAUUGUUUCAUUUUCCAGGCAGUUUUGUUAUGCAGUUAAUAUCUUAAGUUGUUCUGUGCUUUUAGGUAGCUGACAGGUAUGCCUAGCUGCUUAAAUACUACUUUUGAAGAUCAGAAGUAGUUUUAUUACCCAGUCAACAGAAUGCAUCUGUCUUCUUUUGCCUGCUUUAUUUCAUUAGCUUUAUUAUUAUUAUUAUUAUUGUUGUUGUUGUUGUUGUUACUGUGAAAUGUGUAAUAUGUGUUCUCUAGGCUUAUUUUACUUUCCUCAGCCUCCAUCUCUUCCAAGGCUGACUUUCUUGCUUUAAGGAUCAGCUCAUAGGAAGCUAUUAAGCCAAAGUUUGUUUUUACUUGAUUGGCUUUAACACUUCACUCCAUUUGUUCUCUCAUCUCACUUUCCUUCCACUCUUAUUAGAAGCAGGAUUGCUCUAAUGCAAAUAUAGUUCAAAGAGACAGAAAAAAGAGAAAGAGAUCUGAAUUCUCCUCAUGGCAGAUGUCCUAAUGCAAUAUCUGUGGAAAAGGGAGAUUACUUUAAAACAAGUAAACAAACAACCUCAAUAGUGUAAUUGAGGGUGAAUCUAUGUACUGUGUGUGUUUACUUGGUGAGAGAUGCUCGUUUAUUUCACUUAAAUAUAUGUAUGGCUUAGAGGACUGAAAUCAAGCUAAUUCUCUGGUUUGGUUUAUUCCUCCUUGAACAAUCAGAACUUGGGGAUUUCUACAACAGAGAGCUGUCUGCACAGCGCAUUGCAUUGAGUGCACUCCAAUGUUGCAGAAGAUUAUGACCAAAGAGGAAUGCUUUUUCCUACUCAGCUUUUGAAAGCAGUCCUUUUGCUUCCAGUUCAAAAUGUAAGAUUCAAUUAGGAAUACAGACUAGUGAUAUCACCACAGCAACGAGCCACAGAAGCUGCUACAGCCCAACUGACCAACGAACCAUCUAGUACCAGACUGCAAGGGAGUCUGCAAAAGAUGUUUCAGAGCUCAGUAAUUAGUAAAUAAACAAAUUCCUACAAAAAUACUGUGCAAUAAUGAACAAUUUAUUUUCCACUGCUAUAGCAUCAGCCAACCUAAGACAUACUUAAAACUUAUUAAGUUAUUCAUGAAACGAGCAUGAAGGCUGAGACCUUUUAACCAGCAGUGUUAAAAUUCAGUACAAAGUGGAAGGGGAUGGGAGGAUGCUGGGAUUUCAAGAUGCCCCACCAAUCUUUCCUUGUGUUGAAUGGAUGGGCUGGAACAUGACUCAGCCUGAUAGAGGCUCUACGGGACAACCCCUGGGGAGAGGCUGCAAGACAUCAGGUGAGAGCCAGGCAGCAAGUUCAUGGCAUCACCCAAUGCCCUCCCUCCUGGUGGCACAGAGCAGGAAGGGUGUGAACAUGACCUUGUCCUCACUUCUGCUGCAGCUGCAAAGCUGAACUGACAUAAAGAGCAUGCUACAUCCUUAUGAGAGCCACAGAGCUCCUGUAAAAUCCUUGGAAGAAAUUUUGGA